AGGGCACCACCAGGAGUGGAGCCUGCGGCUUAAUUUGACUCAACACGGGAAAACUCACCCGGCCCGGACACUGAAAGGAUUGACAGAUUGAGAGCUCUUUCUUGAUUCAGUGGGUGGUGGUGCAUGGCCGUUCUUAGUUGGUGGAGCGAUUUGUCUGGUUAAUUCCGAUAACGAACGAGACUCUAGCCUACUAAAUAGAUCGCCGGCUUACCCACGCCGGCGAGACUUCUUAGAGGGACAGGUGGCGUUUCAGCCACACGAAACAGAGCAAUAACAGGUCUGUGAUGCCCUUAGAUGUCCGGGGCCGCACGCGCGCUACACUGAAGUGAUCAGCGUGCUUAUUAAGCCUACUCUGCCAAGAGUGGGAAACCCAAUGAAUCUUCUUCGUGAUUGGGAUAGGAGAUUGUAAUUAUUCUCCUUGAACGAGGAAUUCCCAGUAAGCGCGAGUCAUAAGCUCGCGUUGAUUACGUCCCUGCCCUUUGUACACACCGCCCGUCGCUACUACCGAUUGAAUGUUUU
rnacentral:rRNA from 1 species